GGAGGAGCUUGGAAAGUUCAAGAGUGCUCUGAGGAAGUACUUCAACAGCAAAGAUCAGUCGUGUGUCAUUUUCGAGAGAAACUACAAAUGACAGCGUCUUCAACUACAGGUUAUUCCAGUGACCAAGAUUCCAUCUGAUGCUCUGAGACAAGCCUUCAUAGAUUAUGGGUGGAGUAUGGGGGUGUGGCUUGAGACUGUGCCCAGGGAAACACCACCCUCAGAGGUAACACACUCACAUCAUAGCUGUACCAUGUUCUACGUACCAUUCUCUAAGCCUUUUAGUGAUCAAUACUUGAUUUUGCUACACACACACACACACACACACACCUCUCCUCCCACACCACAUGCACACACACACACACACACUGAUACUUAUUUAUUUUGACUAAUGCCUAAUGCUAACUCUAAGAACAUAAUGCUAUCUACUCCCAAUAGAAGACCAACAUGUACACACACACUGACACCGGAAUAUUUAGCUAAUAGUAUAUGAACCAGCUACCAGAGUCAUGGUCAUGCAACCUGUAAUUAAUUAAUGAGCCUUUCCCACCCAUAGGCCGAUUUAAUACCCAAAUGUAGAUAACGAACAGCCUGACCCUACCCCAACACAUUAUGCAUAAUAUAUACACUAGAACCAAGCUAUGGUACAUACUAUAGGUCAAGUUAUAGGAACCAAAAAAGCUGUUGUGAUUUCACCCACCCACACACACAGACAACUAGAACUCUGUGGUAAAAAAAAAUAAUGGUACAUGUACAUAACCCUCAGUAGUAACACCUUGAGGGAGCCUUAAAUUAAAGCUCACAUGAUCCAAGCAUUCCAUAUAGAAACAAAUGGAUAAAAUGGAGUGUAACCAAAAAAAGUCAUCUGAAGCCAUCCAGUAAGUAAAGCAAUAUUUGGCCUUUAUGAUAUUACCGUAUAGCGCGAAAUUUUCGAGGCACUUAUAUUUCGUGGAUUGGCCUCUAAAAGCCAUUUCGUUGCACAAUGUUCGCGGAAUGACUGCUUACCGGAAGCCACGCCUUUAAAUCUUGCACGUUAUAGCAGGUAAAGAACGAUUUUCGUGGACUUAAUUUUCGUGUAGGAUUGCUAACCCACGAAAUCCACGAAAAUUAAGCCCCUCGAAAAUUUCGCGCUAUACGGUAUUAUGCUGCACUUGUAUGAAUACAUAAAACUAAUUAUAUAGCACAUGUCAAAAUCCUUAAUUCUGUAUGCCCAAGAAACCAGCAGCAACUUAGCUCACGUGAAUCAUCGUAAUGACAACGUAUAGACCACCCCCACUAACAAGUUUACCCAUAACUACUGCUAGAAUAGGAAAUAAUGUAGUAAUGAAUGUUACAUGAUAAUUAUAGUAAUGCCAUUUGUUGGCAUUAUAGCAAAUCCGGACUCCAUAGGGAGUGGUUCCGCCUAUUCUGUAGUCGACCACGGGUCGGGAAAUUAAAGGAACCGAAACCCGUGGCCUGACGAGGAUCAGAUUAGGUUCUCCCCUGAUGACCGGUGCAUUCAAUAAACCGAGAGCAGAAGGCAUAAGCCUACUAACCUCGCACUACAAUAGAUACUAUAGCUCUUCCUGUGUUCACAUAAUAAUUAUGUACUAUUGGGUAGUUUAGGGUCAUUCGCAACACCCACGUGCAUUUUAUAAACAGUCACCAUGUGACUUAACCUUAGCACAGCAAGCUAAGCUACCUAUUUUAUACCUACACAGCACUUUAAAUUAAAACCUGUUAUACCAGAACAAUAAUUAUAUAGAUAGACUAUAAGAUCGGAUUACGCGGGACCUGUUACAAGUGAGUGUUUCUCUCUUUUCUACUCUUAGGCUGAGUCAGUAAUUAUGUGUCGGAAAGCCCGAUCCCACCUCCUAUACUUCUGUAUAUACCAUUCUCAAACACACACACACACACACCUCUCCCACACAUACACAUACACACACAUACACUGGUGCCCAUACUUCCUGGCAGAGUUUGAGGGGGGAAAUGUGUUCAUAAGACCAUUUUCUCACCAACUCACGCAGACAAACAACCAGAUCACUGAAUAUAGGUUAUAGUAUGUUUCUACUACUGUGAGCUCAUGAGGUAAACAGCACUCUCAAGUGAGUAGGUAAGAACAUAUCCAUGAGUCUCGUCACACCGACAAUGCACACCUCUAACCUUUCUAUUGCAUACUCAGCAAAUGUCUCUUCCACAAAUCUGUCAUCCUACCUAUCGAGUGAGCACACAAACUGUUCUAACCACCAGCCAAAAUAUCUACUCCACCAAUACCAACGGCAGUACCAACAACAAUACUGUGGCAUAUGAGAGCAGGACUCCCUCUGCUGCCACUGUUGCCCACAGCCUGCUCCCACCUUCCUCAGCGACGCCCUCACAGUCCUCUGACAGUACAAAGGUCAAGAAGUACGAGAGCAUGAAGGUGGAGGACAUUGAGAACUAAAUCACUGACACUUGCAAAAAAACAAACAUUAGUAGUGUACUCUAUUUAUUCUUGUAUGAAAGAGCAAUGUUGUUUUGUCGUAGCGAUUAUCUUUAGAAUCCGAUAGUCUAAUUUAAUGUAUAAUAAUAAUAUUAAACAUUCAAUAAUAAUUAUUUGUGUGUAAAUUAAUGUCUCAAGUUGUGAUUGUAUAAUAAUG